GCGCAGGCGGUUCCUUAAGUCCGAUGUGAAAGCCCACGGCUCAACCGUGGAGGGUCAUUGGAAACUGGGGAACUUGAGUGCAGGAGAGGGGAGCGGAAUUCCACGUGUAGCGGUGAAAUGCGUAGAGAUGUGGAGGAACACCAGUGGCGAAGGCGGCUCUCUGGCCUGUAACUGACGCUGAGGCGCGAAAGCGUGGGGAGCGAACAGGAUUAGAUACCCUGGUAGUCCACGCCGUAAACGAUGAGUGCCAGGUGUUGGAGGGGUCAAACCCUUCAGUGCUGUAGCUAACGCAAUAAGCACUCCGCCUGGGGAGUACGGCCGCAAGGCUGAAACUCAAAGGAAUUGACGGGGGCCCGCACAAGCGGUGGAGCAUGUGGUUUAAUUCGAAGCAACGCGAAGAACCUUACCAGGUCUUGACAUCCUCCGCUACUUCUGGAGACAGGAGGUUCCCCUUCGGGGGACGGAGUGACAGGUGGUGCAUGGUUGUCGUCAGCUCGUGUCGUGAGAUGUUGGGUUAAGUCCCGCAACGAGCGCAACCCUCGUCCUUAGUUGCCAGCAUUCAGUUGGGCACUCUAAGGAGACUGCCGGUGACAAACCGGAGGAAGGUGGGGAUGACGUCAAAUCAUCAUGCCCCUUAUGACCUGGGCUACACACGUGCUACAAUGGGCGGUACAAAGGGUUGCGAAACCGCGAGGUGGAGCUAAUCCCAAAAAGCCGCUCUCAGUUCGGAUUGCGGGCUGCAACUCGCCUGCAUGAAGCCGGAAUCGCUAGUAAUCGCGGAUCAGCAUCCGCGUGGAUACUUCCCGGUCUCUUUCAACCUUGGUGUUUCUUUUUUUGCU
rnacentral:rRNA from 1 species